GCAGCAGCAGCAGCAGCAGCAGCAGCACAGGUCAUAAACAGUCCUGGGCAUAAAACACUGAACCUCUGGACCAUGGCAACCACUUUCAGGCCAGAAUGCAGAGGGAAGCCAUUGAACUCCACAAACACCUGGACAACUUCUACAGGAAAGAGGAAACCCGGCUUAAAAAAAGAAGCAGCUGUACCUCGUCUUGCAGCAAUGGAUAAAGAUAAGAAGAAAGACAGUAAAAAGAGAGAGAGGCCUUUGCCUCCACCUGCACAUGAUGCUUCUCUUGACACUGGCACUUCCAUACAGACCAUUCUGCCAGCUGCAAAUCAAGCGGAUGAACAACUGGCAGCUCCCUUGGUUGCCAAAGAAGAACCGAAAGAGCCAGAAGUGCUUCCAGUCCCAGAACCCAUGGAGUCUGAGGAGCCUGUUCUCACUUGACUCAUUGUUGAAAGUUAUGAAGGUGAAAAAGUUCAUGGAUUAUAUGAGGGAGAAGGAACAGCAUGUUUUCAAGGGAGCAAUGUUUAUAAGAUGGGUAUAUUUAAUUUUUGGCUUCAUGAGCUUCAAAGCGCUCAAUGUGUCAGGCCCCUCUCAUCCCCUGACAUUGACUCUGGAUCCAGAUGGUUGCUUUUUCUGUUCCUUUCCCAUUGAUCUCUUGUCCCAUCCCAUGCCCAGGUCUUAAGCCACAUCUGCACAUCCAUGCCCCCCCCUCCUCAAAAAGGAUUAUUUUGUUGGUAUUAAAACACCUUUUUGGGUAGAUAUAUUGAUGAACUACUUUUUAAUUUUGAAGGACAUGUUUUCAGAGGGUCUCAUGCAUGGAUGAGGAACUUACACUUGGGCCGAUGGAGUUAAGUAUGAGGUAACACGUUGUUAAAUGGAUCAUCAUUACAGCUGUUUGUAGUGAGGGCCAAAGUGAUGAAACCUCUACCUUGCCAGUACCUGCGCUGGACUCUCAGGGCAUAGAUGGCUUCAUCAUUAUGAUGCCUGACUAUCUAAGAAUGACAUGCUGGAUAACAUGACAUGCAUCUGAUGAAGUGAGCUAUAGUCCGUGCAAGUUAAUACUACAGUAUAAGAAAUUUGGUAAUCUUUAAGACAGCAUAGUCUUUUUAAUGAAGGCUGUUUAUUUUUUCUUAAUGAGAACCAAUUGCUCACAGAUAGGUUGGUGAUUUCUCUCUGUGUGUGAUGAACACUUUGCAAGCUCUGAUUCCUAACAUCACACUGCCAUCCCUUCAGCUAAAAAGAU